GUUUCCUACGGGAGGCAGCAGUGAGGAAUAUUGGUCAAUGGGCGGAAGCCUGAACCAGCCAAGUCGCGUGAGGGAAUAAGGCCCUACGGGUCGUAAACCUCUUUUGCCGGGGAGCAAGGGCGGGGACGUGUCCCGGCCCGGAGAGUACCCGGAGAAAAAGCAUCGGCUAACUCCGUGCCAGCGGCCGCGGUAAUACGGAGGAUGCGAGCGUUAUCCGGAUUUAUUGGGUUUAAAGGGUGCGUAGGGGGGCUUUUAAGCCAGCGGUAAAAAUUCGGGGGUCAACCCCGUCCGG
rnacentral:rRNA from 1 species